rnacentral:tRNA from 1 species
CCGUCGAUAGCUCAGUUGGUAGAGCGGUGGACUGUAGAGGCUUCCGAUGCAGGCAUCCAUAGGUCGCUGGUUCGAAUCCGGCUCGACGGA